rnacentral:rRNA from 1 species
GGGAUAACCUUGCGAAAGUAAGACUAAUACCCAAUGACGUCUCUAGAAGACAUCUGAAAGGGAUUAAAGAUUUAUCGGUGAUGGAUGGGGAUGCGUCUGAUUAGCUUGUUGGCGGGGUAACGGCCCACCAAGGCGACGAUCAGUAGGGGUUCUGAGAGGAAGGUCCCCCACAUUGGAACUGAGACACGGUCCAAACUCCUACGGGAGGCAGCAGUGAGGAAUAUUGGUCAAUGGGCGAGAGCCUGAACCAGCCAAGUAGCGUGCAGGAAGACGGCCCUAUGGGUUGUAAACUGCUUUUAUAAGGGAAUAAAGUGAGUCUCGUGAGACUUUUUGCAUGUACCUUAUGAAUAAGGACCGGCUAAUUCCGUGCCAGCAGCCGCGGUAAUACGGAAGGUCCGGGCGUUAUCCGGAUUUAUUGGGUUUAAAGGGAGCGUAGGCCGGAGAUUAAGCGUGUUGUGAAAUGUAGACGCUCAACGUCUGCACUGCAGCGCGAACUGGUUUCCUUGAGUACGCACAAAGUGGGCGGAAUUCGUGGUGUAGCGGUGAAAUGCUUAGAUAUCACGAAGAACUCCGAUUGCGAAGGCAGCUCACUGGAGCGCAACUGACGCUGAAGCUCGAAAGUGCGGGUAUCGAACAGGAUUAGAUACCCUGGUAGUCCGCACGGUAA